UGAAACCCAUACUCAUCCUAGUAGCGAGCCCAAUGACAUUCAAAUGGUUGAAGCAGGAAAUAUGGUUAUUUCGAUUCAAGUUUUAAGGAAUGUGACAAACAACUUCAGUGAAGAAAAUAUAUUGGGACAAGGUGGAUUCGGGACUGUCUACAGAGGUGAAUUGCAUGAUGGUACAAAAAUUGCAGUAAAGAGAAUGGAGUCUGGGGUGAUAACAGGAAAGGGACUAGCAGAGUUCAAGUCAGAAAUUGCUGUUUUGACUAAGGUUCGGCACAGGCAUCUAGUCGCUCUUCUUGGGUAUUGCUUGGAUGGCAACGAAAAGCUUCUUGUGUACGAAUAUAUGCCUCAAGGGACACUCAGUAGGCAUCUGUUCAGCUGGCCUGAAGAAGGGAUAAAACCACUUGAAUGGACUAGAAGGUUGGCUAUUGCAUUAGAUGUAGCAAGGGGUGUUGAGUACCUCCAUGGUUUAGCCCAUCAGAGCUUUAUACACAGGGACCUAAAGCCUUCAAACAUUCUUCUUGGGGAUGAUAUGAGAGCUAAGGUUGCCGAUUUUGGUCUUGUGCGACUUGCUCCAGAGGGGAAAGGCUCAAUUGAAACAAGAAUUGCUGGAACUUUUGGAUACUUGGCACCAGAAUAUGCAGGUGCUUGUUACUUCUCCCCUUAUUUUGUUGGCUAGUUAAUUUAGUUUAUAGAUUUUCUAAUGCUUUAGAUAAAUCACCCACACGUGAAAUGCAUAAUAUGCCAUCAGCUAAAUUGAUAGCUGUCUUCUAUGAGAUCAGUGACCGUUCUAGAGAACUGAAAAGCAUUGUUGACUUAAUUGUUUCCAUUUAUCUUUAGUCAUUAUUCUUUGUGAUCCCUAGUGUUAAAUUCCUAAGCCUUUGUUCCAAGUUAACAUAGAGAAUUUUGACACAGAACUCCCUGUUUUUUAUUAUUUGAUUCAGUGACUGGUCGAGUGACUACUAAAGUGGACGUCUUCAGUUUUGGGGUGAUUUUGAUGGAGCUAAUCACUGGGAGAAAAGCACUAGAUGAGAGCCAGCCCGAGGAGAGCAUGCACCUCGUGACAUGGUUCAAAAGAAUGCACAUCAACAAGGACACUUUCAGAAAAGCCAUUGACCCAACAAUUGAUGUUGAUGAGGAAACACUCGCCAGUAUCAGCACGGUUGCUGAACUUGCAGGUCACUGCUGUGCCAGGGAGCCAUACCAAAGGCCUGAUAUGGGUCAUGCUGUAAAUGUUCUAUCUUCUCUCGUAGAGCUCUGGAAACCUGUGGACCAAAACACAGAGGACAUAUAUGGCAUCGACCUUGACAUGUCCUUGCCACAAGCCCUCAAGAAGUGGCAGGCAUUUGAAGGAAGAAGCCACAUGGAUUCUUCUUCGUCUUCCUCAUUCCUCGCAAGUUUGGACAACACUCAAACCAGCAUACCCACUCGCCCAUAUGGAUUUGCUGAAUCGUUCACAUCAGCAGAUGGGAGGUAAUCAAGAAGAAAAUUGGGGUGAUGGUGGAGGUGUUUGUUCAUUCUUUUGCUGCUUUCAUCUUCUCAAUGUAAUCUUGGUUGAAUUUUAUUUUCUUUUUGACACCUUUCUGUGUUUUUGAAUCUAAUUCCUGGUUCUGAUAUUUUCUUGGAAUUGUAAUUUGGAUAUUGUUGACUUGUUUAACUAUUUCUG
rnacentral:lncRNA from 1 species